rnacentral:rRNA from 1 species
AUACGGAGGAUGCGAGCGUUAUCCGGAUUUAUUGGGUUUAAAGGGUGCGUAGGCUGUGCGUUAAGUCAGGGGUGAAAUGCCGUCGCUCAACGACGGAGCUGCCCUUGAUACUGGCGUGCUGGAGUACGGAUGCCGUUGGAGGAAUGAGUGGUGUAGCGGUGAAAUGCUUAGAUAUCACUCAGAACACCGAUUGCGAAGGCAUCUGACGAAUCCGUCACUGACGCGGAGGCACGAAAGCGUGGGGAUAGAACAUGAUUAGAUACCCUGGUAUUCCACGCCGUAAACGAUGAUGACUAACCGUCGGCGAUAGACAGCCGGUGGCCAAGCGAAAGCGAUAAGUCAUCCACCUGGGGAGUACGUCGGCAACGAUGAAACUCAAAUGAAUUGACGGGG